ensembl:lncRNA
CGAAGUAUUUUCUUUUGUAUCUUUUGUCGGACUACUUGUAGGGCUGUCUGCCGAAGUGUGGUUCAGUACCACACGCUAUAGCGAAACAUCUUGCGACGGAAAACGACAGUAAGCGUUUCUCACUGGACACGUUUGGAGUGUGUGUUCUUUUGGGGUUUGGUACCUGGUCCCCGGACCUUUUAGUAAUCGGUUUCACUUUAAAUCCUUUGUUCAAGGUUACUGUCACUAGGCCAACAUGUUUGUAUGAACGCUGAGAAACACCUUUUUUCACGUCACACUCAUAACUCGCACGCUAGCCUCUAACAAAGGUAAUUUGCUGGCUUUAUGAACUCAUUUCUCAUUUCAUUCAUUGAACGUUUUCUACUUUACUGUUAUUUUUGCAUUUUAACUUUUUCUUUCAAGUAGAAUCCUUCCUUCCACUGCCCCAACCCUCUGUUGUUACUCAUGCAUCCCAAAACACCCUAUUCUCAAUAGAGCAAUGUAAUCAGGACGAGUGCGCUAUGUAAGGCAUAUGGUCUAGUUUGGAAGUUGUGAAAUAGGCAUGUUGCCUAGAUAUUACAAGAAUGAGAAAAUAUUAAAUAAAACCGUUUGUUUCUGUAACUGACUUAUAUUUGAUAUGUAAUAGGCUAUUCAUUACACCACAGUUCACUGUUACUAAGUUUUGUAUGUCUCAAAGUUUUGGGAUCCGUGUCCCAGUUUCAUUUGUGUCGGGGAAGCAAGUGGAACUAUUUCGUUUCACCUGUGUUGUCGGGUCAGUUGUGUUGCAUGAGAGAAAGCCACUACAAAACAAGGAAGUACGCCUAAUUACCUUCAUGGUGUCAUGUUACCAGGUUACCAGUUUUUGUUUGUUCGUUCGUUGCCUAGGAGUUAAAAGACAAUUAAAAGCCAGUGCCGUCUCUCCGGUGAGUUUGGAAGGCUCUGGGGUUUGAGGACACCGCGGUCGGGGAACCGAAGAAUAACUAGAAUUUCCAAUAGGCGUAGACAAACGCGCUGCGAUGUCUCCCGUCAAACCGUCGAAGCCUCUGGUCAGACAAAUGACACCUCCAAGAGGCACAGGAAGCGGGACCGGUAACGGACCUUUAGACCCGGGAGAGUUCGAAAUGAUCCGUCAGGCAGCCCGUCUGGCCUGGCAGAGAGAAGCGUCUCAACGGGAGAACAGCCCGACCACGUACGGCGGCCAGCACUCGGCCAAGACCCUCGAUGAACCUACGUGGAAUCGAGCCAGGCCGUGUUCACCUACACGGAGACAUCGACCUCAUCCCUGCUAGUGCACCAGUAACCACCCAGAUACAGUGAGAAGUCAGAUAGCGUAGACGUUGCCAGGCUGGCUGUACACAGGCCUUCGUCUCCGUGUACAUACAAGCAGUGAAACGUUACAAUUAAAAACUCGGAAUCCAGA